CUCUGAAAUGAUAGGAUGGAUAGACACUAAAGAGAAAGGUUUAAAAAGCCCUUUUUCGAAAUUCAAAAGACUUAGAAUGAGUCCUAAGUCAAUGGAUCAAGUGGGUAGAGGGGGUGGUUGGCUCACGCAAGUUUUUUUUCAAUUAUUUUUUUGGGUUCCAUCCAUUGGUGUUGAUUUGAAAUUUUAAACUAAUAACUACCCAUCUAUUUUAAAUUAAAAAUUAUUUUAAAUGAG
rnacentral:lncRNA from 1 species